UCUUGUGUAUGGCCAUACCACUCUGAACACACCCAAUCUGAUCUUGGAAGCUAAGCAGGGCUGGGCCUGGUUUGUACUUGGAUGGGAGAAAAUGUAUUCUAUCAUCAGAUUCAGGUAUGCAAGGG
rnacentral:rRNA from 1 species